rnacentral:rRNA from 1 species
UACGAAGGGGGCUAGCGUUGCUCGGAAUCACUGGGCGUAAAGGGUGCGUAGGCGGGUUUUUAAGUCAGAGGUGAAAUCCUGGAGCUCAACUCCAGAACUGCCUUUGAUACUGAGGAUCUUGAGUUCGGGAGAGGUGAGUGGAACUGCGAGUGUAGAGGUGAAAUUCGUAGAUAUUCGGAAGAACACCAGUGGCGAAGGCGACUCACUGGACACGUAUUGACGCUGAGGUGCGAAAGCGUGGGGAGCAAACAGG